CCUACGGGCGGCUGCAGUGGGGAAUAUUGGACAAUGGGGGGAACCCUGAUCCAGCCAUGCCGCGUGUGUGAAGAAGGCCCUCGGGUUGUAAAGCACUUUCAGUGAGGAAGAACGCCUGGUGGUUAAUACCCAUCAGGAAAGACAUCACUCACAGAAGAAGCACCGGCUAACUCCGUGCCAGCAGCCGCGGUAAUACGGAGGGUGCGAGCGUUAAUCGGAAUUACUGGGCGUAAAGCGCGCGUAGGUGGCUUGAUAAGCCGGUUGUGAAAGCCCCGGGCUCAACCUGGGAACGGCAUCCGGAACUGUCAAGCUAGAGUGCAGGAGAGGAAGGUAGAAUUCCCGGUGUAGCGGUGAAAUGCGUAGAGAUCGGGAGGAAUACCAGUGGCGAGGGCGGCCUUCUGGACUGACACUGACACUGAGGUGCGAAAGCGUGGGUAGCAAACAGGAUUAGAUACCCCGGUAGUC
rnacentral:rRNA from 1 species